rnacentral:miRNA from 1 species
GUGUAUUCCUGGGCUAAUAAC